rnacentral:misc_RNA from 1 species
AGCAGCCGCGGUAAUUCCAGCUCCAAUAGCGUAUAUUAAAGUUGUUGCAGUUAAAAAGCUCGUAGUUGAAUUUCGGGAUUGACACAUCGGUCGUGCCUUAAGGGGUAUGAACUGGUGUAGUCAAUUUCUCACCUUCUGGAGAACCGCGAUGCCCUUAAUUGGGUGUCGCGGGGAACCAGGACCUUUACUUUGAAAAAAUUAGAGUGUUUAAAGCAGGCAUUUUGCUUGAAUACAUUAGCAUGGAAUAAUAAAAUAGGACGGCAUGAUUCUAUUUUGUUGGUUUCUAGGAUCACCGUAAUGAUUAAUAGGGAUAGUUGGGGGCAUUAGUAUUCAAUUGUCAGAGGUGAAAUUCUUGGAUUUAUUGAAGACUAACUACUGCGAAAGCAUUUGCCAAGGAUGUUUUCAUUAAUCAAGAACGAAAGUUAGGGGAUCGAAGACGAUCAGAUACCGUCGUAGUCUUAACCAAUAAACUAUGCCGACUAGGAAUCAGACGAUGUUAAUUUUUAAUGACUGUUGGCAC